GACGAACGCUGGCGGCGUGCCUAAUACAUGCAAGUAGAACGCUGAAGGAGGAGCUUGCUUCUCUGGAUGAGUUGCGAACGGGUGAGUAACGCGUAGGUAACCUGCCUGGUAGCGGGGGAUAACUAUUGGAAACGAUAGCUAAUACCGCAUAAGAGUAGAUGUUGCAUGACAUUUGCUUAAAAGGUGCACUUGCAUCACUAGCAGAUGGACCUGCGUUGUAUUAGCUAGUUGGUGGGGUAACGGCUCACCAAGGCGACGAUACAUAGCCGACCUGAGAGGGUGAUCGGCCACACUGGGACUUAGACACGUCCCAGACUCCUACGGGGUCCCGCACUAGUCACUCUUCGACAAUGGACGAAAGUCUGACCGAGCAACUCCGCGUGAGUGAAGAAGGUUUUCAUAUCGUAAAGCUCUGUUGUAAGAGAAGAACACGUAUAAGAGUGGAAAGUUCACACUGUAACGGUAUCUUACCAGAAAGGGACGGCUAACUACGUG
rnacentral:rRNA from 1 species